GACGAACGCUGGCGGCGUGCUUAACACAUGCAAGUCGAACGGUGAAGGUACUGGUUUUGCUGGUCCUUGAUGAGUGGCGAACGGGUUAGUAACACGUGAGUAACCUUCCCCCUUCUUCUGGAUAACCGCAUGCAAGUGUGGCUAAUACGGGUUCUUCUGGGUCUGUCUCAUGGUGGGCCUGGGAAAGAUUUCGCCUUUUUUGGUGUUUUUGGUGGGGGAUGGGGUCGGGGGCGAUCAUCUUGUUGGUGGGGUGUUGGCCUUCCAAGGCGGUGACGGGGAGCGGGACUGAGAGGGAGGAGGGGCACGGUGGGAAUGGGACACGGCCAAGACCCCGACGGGAGGCAGAAGUGGGAAAUAUGGCAAAAGGGGCGUAAGCGUGAUGCAGCGACGCCGAGUGAGGGAUGGAGGCCGUGGGGUUGUGAACCUCUUUCGCCAGUGAAGCAGGCCUGGCUCUUUUUGUGGGUGGGUUGACGGUAGCUGGAGAAGAAGCGCCGGCUAACUACGUG
rnacentral:rRNA from 1 species